AGAGUUUGAUCAUGGCUCAGGAUGAACGCUAGCGGCAGGCCUAACACAUGCAAGUCGAGGGGUAGAGGCUUUCGGGCCUUGAGACCGGCGCACGGGUGCGUAACGCGUAUGCAAUCUACCUUACACUAAGGGAUAGCCCAGAGAAAUUUGGAUUAAUACCUUAUAGUAUAUUUUUGUGGCAUCACAGGAUUAUUAAAGAUUUAUUGGUGUAAGAUGAGCAUGCGUCCCAUUAGCUAGUUGGUAUGGUAACGGCAUACCAAGGCUAUGAUGGGUAGGGGUCCUGAGAGGGAGAUCCCCCACACUGGUACUGAGACACGGACCAGACUCCUACGGGAGGCAGCAGUGAGGAAUAUUGGACAAUGGGCGCAAGCCUGAUCCAGCCAUGCCGCGUGCAGGAUGAAGCAUCUAUGGUGUGUAAACUGCUUUUAUACAGGAAGAAACCCCUUUACGUGUAGAGGAUUGACGGUACUGUAGGAAUAAGGAUCGGCUAACUCCGUGCCAGCAGCCGCGGUAAUACGGAGGAUCCAAGCGUUAUCCGGAAUCAUUGGGUUUAAAGGGUCCGUAGGCGGUCUUAUAAGUCAGUGGUGAAAUCCGGCAGCUCAACUGUCGAACUGCCAUUGAUACUGUAAGACUUGAAUUACUGUGAAGUAACUAGAAUAUGUAGUGUAGCGGUGAAAUGCUUAGAUAUUACAUGGAAUACCAAUUGCGAAGGCAGGUUACUAACAUUAUAUUGACGCUGAUGGACGAAAGCGUGGGUAGCGAACAGGAUUAGAUACCCUAGUAGUCC
rnacentral:rRNA from 1 species